UACGGAGGGUGCGAGCGUUGUCCGGAAUCAUUGGGCGUAAAGGGUGCGUAGGUGGCGCGGUAAGUCGGGGUGUGAAAUCUCGGAGCUUAACUCCGAAAUUGCAUUCGAUACUGCCGUGCUCGAGGACUGGAGAGGAGACUGGAACUCAUGGUGUAGCAGUGAAAUGCGUAGAGAUCAUGAGGAAGACCAGUGGCGAAGGCGGGUCUCUGGACAGUUCCUGACACUGAGGCACGAAGGCCAGGGGAGCAAACGGG
rnacentral:rRNA from 1 species